rnacentral:rRNA from 1 species
AUACGGAGGAUCCAAGCGUUAUCCGGAUUUAUUGGGUUUAAAGGGUGCGUAGGCGGGCCCUUAAGUCAGUUGUGAAAGUUUGCGGCUCAACCGUAAAAUUGCAGUUGAUACUGUUUUUCUUGAGUGUACAUAAGGUAGGCGGAAUUCGUGGUGUAGCGGUGAAAUGCUUAGAUAUCACGAAGAACUCCAAUUGCGAAGGCAGCUUACCGGGGUACAGCUGACGCUGAGGCACGAAAGUGUGGGUAUC